rnacentral:rRNA from 1 species
UACGAAGGGGGCUAGCGUUGCUCGGAAUUACUGGGCGUAAAGGGCGCGUAGGCGGAUAGUUUAGUCAGAGGUAAAAGCCCAGGGCUCAACCUUGGAACUGCCUUUGAUGCUGGCUAUCUUGAGUACGGGAGAGGUGUGUGGAACUCCGAGUGUAGAGGUGAAAUUCGUAGAUAUUCGGAAGAACACCAGUGGCGAAGGCGACACACUGGCCCGUUACUGACGCUGAGGCGCGAAAGCGUGGGGAGCAAACAGG